AAGAUAGAGUCCCGUUCUACAUGUCAAUACUG
rnacentral:tRNA from 1 species